GUGUCACUUCCGGGUCAGAUGUCGCGUUCACAACAGGGCGAGUGGUUGUGUGCUGCUCCCUGUGUGCGCUACUGUGGUUGUGUGGCGGUGGUAAGUGUCAUCUCUCUUUGCGUUAUGGUUGGUGCUACUAGGUGGCUAAUGCUAGUGUGGUCACAGGUAAAUGCUGGCGGCUGCCUCGAGCCCUUUUCCCUUCCUUCUCUCGUUAGUGUCUGUUGCUGCUAAAAAGGUAUGCAAAUAUAUUGUAAAAUGCAUCCGCAUUAUUUAGUUAAAGGUCUUCAAUGACAUCCUACUGAUUCUGGUGACUUGUCGUGCGUGACUUGACCGCUGCUUUUAAAAGUGGACACCAACAUUUUACUGUUUCGUUUACAGCACAUAGUGGGCAUUAGUGGUACUGCACUAGAAUGGUUCAGGUCAUAUAUGGCAGAUAGAACUGUGUAAGGCUUGCUGGUUCAGAAUCCUCAUCUGCUCCCCUGUCAUGUGGGUCACCCGGGGCUCAAUUUUAGGGUCCCUGCUUUUUUUUGCUUUAUUUACUUCCCUUUGUUUCCAUUCUUAGGAAACAUGGUCUCUUUUUCCACUGUUACACCGAUGACUGCCAGAUUUAUGUAUCCCUAAAGCGGAAGGAGGCCUCCUCUCAAUUCACUUCUUGAGUCUCUUGAUGAGAUCAAAGUAUGGAUGGCCCUGAACUUUUUUUAACAUUUUAGUGAAAGGAAGAGGUGUUUGAACCCAAUGGCUCCAGUGAGUCCCUUUCGGUUGACCUGGGCCAUUUGACACAGCAUGUAAAGCCUAUAGUCACAAAUCUGGGUUUUAAAAUGGACAGUCGAAUUUGUGCAGUGGUGAAGUCCAGCUUUUUUCAUUUAAGAAUGUUAAAGGUAAAACCUUUCCUUUUAACACAGCACAUUGAGAAUGUAAUCUAAGCCCUUUUAUUAUGUCUUGACUCGAUUACUCUAACGCACUUUAUUUUAUUAUUAACAUAACGCCUAUUUCAGCCUCACUCCACUUGCUGCCUGUACAUUUUAGAGUUAAUUUCAAAGUUCCGGCUCUGAAUGUUGUUUUUCUUUUUUUGAGUGUGUGCAACUCCACUGAUUUGUUGUUCUCUCUCUUUUUAGUUGCUGUAGGCUGGUGCUGGUGACCUGGUGGUGGCAUCCUCCUGUGCUGUCUUGCUGUGUCCCUGGGAGUGGGUUUUCUUCACUGAGUGUCUGCCGAGUGUGCCCGGUGAUUUUGUUGUUUUUCUUUGGUGGAUCCCUCCCCUGCACUGGCCUUCGUCUAUCCACUUUGGCCUCAGCCCUGAUUAGGUUUUUCCCUUUUUUGUAUGAACAAGUUUUAUUGAUAUUUUAGAACUGAUGAAUAUUUAAUAAAAGGUGUAUCUUAACUUGGAA